UAGGGAAUCUUCCACAAUGGACGCAAGUCUGAUGGAGCAACGCCGCGUGAGUGAAGAAGGCUUUCGGGUCGUAAAACUCUGUUAUUGAAGAAGAACGUGCGUGACAGUAACUGGUCAUGCAGUGACGGUAUUCAAUCAGAAAGUCACGGCUAACUACGUGCCAGCAGCCGCGGUAAUACGUAGGUGGCAAGCGUUGUCCGGAUUUAUUGGGCGUAAAGCGAGUGCAGGCGGUCUUUUAAGUCUGAUGUGAAAGCCUUCGGCUUAACCGAAGAAGGGCAUCGGAAACUGGGAGACUUGAGUGCAGAAGAGGAGAGUGGAACUCCAUGUGUAGCGGUGAAAUGCGUAGAUAUAUGGAAGAACACCAGUGGCGAAGGCGGCUCUCUGGUCUGUAACUGACGCUGAGGCUCGAAAGCGUGGGUAGCAAACAGGAUUAGAUACCCU
rnacentral:rRNA from 1 species